rnacentral:rRNA from 1 species
GACGAACGCUGGCGGCGUGCUUAACACAUGCAAGUCGAACGAUGAAGCUGGAGCUUGCUCCGGUGGAUUAGUGGCGAACGGGUGAGUAACACGUGAGUAAUCUGCCCUUGACUCUGGGAUAACUGCGGGAAACUGUAGCUAAUACCGGAUACGACACCUUCGGGCAUCCGAUGGGUGUGGAAAGAAUUUCGGUCAAGGAUGAACUCGCGGCCUAUCAGCUAGUUGGUGAGGUAAUGGCUCACCAAGGCGACGACGGGUAGCCGGCCUGAGAGGGUGACCGGCCACACUGGGACUGAGACACGGCCCAGACUCCUACGGGAGGCGGCAGUGGGGAAUAUUGCACAAUGGGCGAAAGCCUGAUGCAGCAACGCCGCGUGAGGGAUGAAGGCCUUCGGGUUGUAAACCUCCUUUAGUUGGGAAGAAGCGAAAGUGACGGUACCAACAGAAUAAGCACCGGCUAACUACGUGCCAGCCGCCGCGGUAA